rnacentral:ncRNA from 1 species
UAGCAUUCGCAGUGCGCUGGUUUGCCUGAUAACAGGCAGGGGAAUGCGGUGAGAAUCCGUGACUGACGCGCAGCGGUGAUAGAGAACGAAAGCACAAGGACGUUAGUUCCGAACACUGCUUCUGCAGACGGUGCAAUGCUGUCGAUUGAAGUGGGAAGUUGUUGCCUAGGUGGUUGUCCAACCAUGCUCUUAAGUCCGAAGACCGACCAGUGUACCGAGUAGCCC